rnacentral:lncRNA from 1 species
AAGGAGAAAGUCUGAGAAUGGAUAGAAGAAACGAUGUGAGAGGACGAGGACGAGUGCGUAUGUGAGGUGGGCGACGAGGAGGAAGAGGAGGAGGAGGGCAAGAAAGAGGAAGAGGAGGACGAAGAGGAAGACAAAGAGUGGAAAUAUCUGAUGAAAUUCGAGCAACAGUUAUAGACCAUGUUCUUGUCCAUGGACUGACAAUGAGGGAAGCAGGACUUAGAGUGCAACCCAAUUUGAGCCGAUUUUCUGUGUCCACCAUAGUAAGGACAUUCAGAGAAGAGAAAAGAAUUGCAAGGCUGCCACAUGCAGGUGGAAGGACAGCUAUAUUCACUCGGGAGCAAGAGGCCGUUAUAGUUGGCAUGGUCCUUCAAGAUAAUGCAAUACGACUCAGAGAAAUCCUGGAAUGAGUGAUACAAGACAACACACACUUCCAGGGAAUCGACAGUGUGAGCAUUUCCACAAUUGACCGUGUCCUCCAUCGUAACAGGAUGCGAAUGAAACAAGUAUACAGAGUACCUUUUGAGCGCAACUCACCAAGGGUGAAAGAACUGCAAGCUCAGUAUGUGCAAGUAAGUGUACAUUCAGAAACAUUUACUGUAAUCCAGAUUGUCUACAGUACUAACACAUACUAUGUGAAUGACAUUACUCUUCAGUACAUACAAUGUAUGUGAAUCAGAAGUGCAUACAGUAGGCCUAAUUGUACUCUACAGUAUAGCACUGUCUCUGUACGACUUACAAAAUCCUACAUACAGUAUAUUGUAUUUCUACACAAACAAUAUUUGACUUGGAAUCCUUGGACAGACCCCAUGAGUUCAUCUUUGUCGAUGAAGCAGGCUUCAAUCUAACAAAGAGGAGAAGGAGAGGCCGAAACAUGAUUGGACAGCGGGCCAUUGUUGAAGUCCCUGGUCAACGAGGUGGCAAUGUCACAAUCUGUGCUGCUAUCAGCAACCAUGGUUUUCUACAUCACCAUGUUACACUCGGGCCAUAUAACACCCAGCACCUUCUAAGAUUUAUUGCCAAUCUAAGAGAUAUUUUAUUUGAGCAGCAGGUUCAAGAGCAGCAGGGUCAAGAGCUAAAUGAGAAUCCCAUUCCCACCUAUGUGAUAGUGUGGGACAAUGUCAGUUUCCACCAAGCUGCUCAGGUAAGGGAAUGGUUUAACAUCAAUGGGCAGUUUAUGAACUUAUACCUCCCUCCAUACUCGCCUUUCCUGAAUCCGAUUGAGGAGUUUUUCUCCUCUUGGAGAUGGAAAGUGUAUGAUAGACAACCCUACACCAGAGUAAAUCUGCUGCAAGCCAUGGAUUUAGCCUGUGGUGAUAUAGGUGAGGAAUCAUGUCAGGGCUGGAUACGGCACACAAGAGGCUUCUUCCCCCGUUGCCUCAGGAGGGACAAUAUUGCUUGUGAUGUCGACUAAGUGCUCUGGCCUGACCCAGCCCAAAGACAAGAAGAAGCACAUUGAUCACAUGUUUACUCCUUUGAUUUUUGUCCCUUUUAGUAUUGUAGGCUGUAUACUGUACAAUGGACAAAUUGUAUGGCCCUGAACAUUGUGCUUUCCAUUUAUUAACAGUACUGACUGCUCAAUAGAUUUUGACUGGUUGCAGG